ACAGCAGCGACCCAAGCUGCUGCAGCAACAACGCACUGUCCUUAACCCACUGCGCCACAAGAGAGCUCCUGGAAUUAUUUUUCUUAUGUUGGAAGAACUCCUUUUAGCAUUUCUUCUAGAGUGCGUGCACAAGUAACUAAUUCUCUCUAAACAUUUAUUUGCCUAAACAUUUCUUAUUGUUUGGGCACUUCUUCAGUUCACCUUCAUUUCUGAAGCAUAUUUUCACUGGAUGUGGAAUUCCGGGUUGGCAGUUAUUGUCUUUCGGCUCAUUAACGAUCUUAUUCUUUUUUCUUCUUCUUUCUAUCCUUUCUCGCAAAAAUUCAGCUGUUGAUUCCUUGGUGCUUUUGGAAAGAAUGAGUCUUUCUUUUUUUCUCUAGAUACUUUUAAGAUUCCUCUUUGUUUUAAAUUUUUAACAGUUUCACUAUGCUGUGCCUGGCUGUGGCUUUCUUGGUAUAUGUCUAAUUUGGGGUUCAUUCUCUCUUUCCUUUUGUUCUGAGACCCUAAUUAUAUGAUGUUAAACAUUUUUAACAUGUCUUUUACGUUAUUUUCUGUAUUUUCUAUUUUCCCCCCUGCUCCGUACAUAUAAAAUGAGCAAUUACAAAUACCCCCCUUGUCAAUGUGGCACCCACAAGCAUCUCUUAGACCGAUCCUUAAUCUCCAAAUAAAGACAAUCACAAGGUUAUAAUUCUACUGAAUAUGAUACAACAAUUCUGCAUACAACUGAAAACACACUAUAACUCCUUUCCCAGAAGAGGUGGUAAAGUCCUCGAGUGAUGUUUACAUGUCUCUUUGAUCUCCUUUAACUUAAAAAUGUGGUUGAAAAUUAGCAGUACUUACAUACUAUGAUAUAAAGUCCAUACAUCUUGUGUUACACAAUAAGAGAAUAAGAGAGGGAAGAAAACAAAGACAUCCUCUAUACACACGGACAAACAUAUUCAUAACACAGUAAGGAAGAAAUUCUUACGAUAGUUGCAGUCCUUAUUUCUGUACUGGCCAUGUGGUUGUAGCCCAUGUUAGGACUACCUUCUUCUCCUGCCUUUUUUGUAUUUCUUUUGCCUUCAGCGAGCACCUCAGCUGGUCAUGAUUCUGUAGCUGGUGGGGUGACCCAGGUCUUUAUUCCUGAAGGGUCUGGGCCAUUAGCAUCCUCCCUGGGCUCGGGGGGUUGUAGUUUUCCAUUGUCCUUAAUCACAGGGCAUGGUCAUGCUAAGAGAAGCCUUAAGGGAUCUCCUGCAGAGCAGCCAUCCAAUUUCCCCUUGGUAGUCAGGAUCCAUCACCCCAGUUAGCGCAAGUACAGUAACUCCUUUCUUUGCCUACUGAUUCAGAGGCAUGAGGAGUCCACAAUGACCAGGUGGCUGUCUUAGCUCCCCGCUCAAUGGAAUCAUUGUUGUGUCUCUGGGUAGAAACAUUCUUCCCAUGGAACUGAGCCCUCUAGGCCAACAGAGCAUACUCUUGCAGAAGCAGGAAACAAACAUUUUGCUAGUGGGUCACCAGGGGUAACAACAGUAAGUGGUGCCACUCCCCUUUCCUCCCCUUGAUUCCUGGACCUGUGAAUCCUGGCUCUGGGGAAGGCAGCCCCAUAUUUGGGAGGUUACACCCUUCUUGAGAAACCUUGCUCUAACACGGCAAGAUAUUGCUGCCCAGCUAGUGCCAGAAUUAAGUCUUCAAAAGGCCAUUCCACUCGUCUGCCAAACCAGCUGCUUCAGGAUGGUGGGCAACACAGUGAGACCAGUGAUGUCCAAGAGCACGGGCCCCUGGCCACACCACUUUUGCUGUGAAGUGAGUCCCUAGGUCAGAAGUGAUGCUGUGUGAAUGAUGUGUAAGGCCUUCUCUUGGUCCGCAGAUGGUAGUUCAGGCUGAAGCAGUGUGUGCAGGGAAUGAAAAUUCAUGUUCAGAGCAAGUGUCUGUUUCAGUAAGAACAAGACGUCACCCCUUGUGUAUUGGAAGCAGUUAAGUGUAAUCAACGUGCCAUCGAGUAGCUGGUGUCACCCUGGGGAACAGGGCCAUCGCAAGUACUGAGUGUUGGUCUCUGCUGCUGGCACAUUGGGCAGUCAGUGGUGGCAGUAGCUAGUUUGGCAUGGUGAAUGGAUGCCCUUGUUGUUGAGCCCACGCAUAACUCCAUCCCUGCCACCAUGGCUACUUGGUUCACGAGCGCAUUGGUGAUAGGGGGUCUCCACAGUAGCUGACUGGUAUCCACACAACUGGUCAUCCUAUCCCCUUGAUUACUAAAGUCUUCUCUGAAGUCAUCACCUGGGAUAAAAAUAUCUUUACAUUUUUUACCUAUUUAGAGAGAUCUGUCCACAUACCUCUUUGCCAGAUCACCACAUUUCCUUGUCACCAAGGUUCCAAUGAUGUUCCUUCCAAGUUCCUGCCCGUGUAACCAACCCAUUCGCCACAGCUCAUGAAUCAGUACAUGAUUGCAUGUCUGGCCAUUUUUCCUUCCGAGCAAAAUGAAUGACCAGAUGCACUGCUAAAAGUUCUGCCCACUGGGAAAACUUCCUUUCACCACUCCUUCAGGGAUGCUCCAAAGGGGGCCUGCAGCUCUGCAGCUGUCCACUUCCGGAGGUGCCUGCACAUCUGCAGAACUAUCCACAAACCAGGCCUAAGUCUUCUCUUCCUCUGCCAGCUGAUGGUAGGAUCUCCAAUUCGACCCCUAGCCUGGGAACCUCCCUAUGCCAUGGGCAUGACCCUAAAAAAAAAAAAAAAAAAAAUACCUAAAAGUUGAAAUGCCUCCUUGGUCCAUGGGCUGCAGAAUGGAUGCUGUGUUAGCAGCAGGCAUGAAAACAACACUAAUCUCACUGUACAUCUCCAUCAGAGCUCCUGGGUGACCAGGUGCCCUGUCAAUGAGCAAUCAUAUAUUUAAAUUUUAUUGAAGUAUGCUUGAUUUGCAAGGGUGUGUUCAUUUCUGCUUUACAGCACAGUGAUUCAGUUACACAUGUGUUUUCUUUUCCAUUAUGGUUUAUUACAUGAUAUUGAAUACAGUUCCCUAUGAUAUACAAUAGAACCGUAUUGUUUAGAGCAGUAAUAUUUUGAAAGGAAUCUUCUUUUUUUCUGAACGGUAGGUCUCAAUAGUGAGCUUAACAUAUACAGUAAACCAUGCGGAAGACAGAUGUGCUGUGCCCCAGGCCUUGCUGUUCCAUUUAUAGACUCAUCAGAGUAGACGGAGCAUAAUUCUUAAGGACCGUAGGAUUUUCAGGGCCCUCGUAAAUGAGCGUUGGCUUCAGCUUAAAGUCACAAGUUGCAUUUGCCCCUAAGAAGAAAGUCAGCCUAUCCUCUGAAGCUCUGAAGCCAGGCAUUGACUUCUCCUCUCUCACUGUGAAAGUGCUAGAUGGCAUCUUCUUCCAAUAGAAGGUUGUUUCAUCUAUAGUGAUAAUCCAUUGUUUAGUGUAGCCACCUUCGUCAAUGAUCUUAGCUAGAUCUCCUGGAUAACUAGCUGUAGCUUCUCCCUCAGCACCUGCUACUUCAUCUUGUACUUUCAUGUUAUGGAGAUGUCUUCUUUCCUUAAACCUCAUGAGCCACCCUCUGCUGGCUUCAAACAUUUCUUCUGCAGCUUCCUCGCCUCUCUCAGCCUCCGUGGAAUUGAAGCUGUGGAUUAGGCUUUGGCUGAAGGAAAUGCUGUGACUGGUUUGACCUUCUAUUCAAAUCACUAAAACUUUCUCCAUAUCAAUAAUAAGGCUGGGUAGCUUCCUUAUCACUUGUGUGUUCACUGCAGUAACACUCAAUUUCCUUCAAGAGCGUUUUCUUUGCAUUCACAGCUUUGUUAACUGUUUGGCACUAGAGGCCUAGUUUUUGGCCUGUCUCAGCUUUGGACAUGCCUUCCUUACUAAGAUUAAUUAUUUCUAGCUUUUGACUUAAAAUGAGAGAUGCGUGGAGUUCCCGUCGUGGCGCAGUGGUUAACGUAUCCAACUAGGAACCAUGAGGUUGUGGGUUCGAUCCCUGCCCUUGCUCAGUGGGUGAAUGAUCCAGCGUUGCCAUGAGCUGUGGUGUAGGUCACAGACGCAGCUCAGAUCCCGUGUUGCUGUGGCUCUGGUGUAGGCUGGUGGCUACAGCUCCGAUUAGGCCCCUAGCCUGGGAACCUCCAUAUGCCACAGGUGUGCCCCUAGAAAAGGCAAAACAAAAACCAAAACAAAAGAUCACUGACCUUAGGUCACUGUAACAAAUAUAAUAAAAACGAAAAUGUCAGACCUAUUGCAAGAAGUACCAAAAUAUGACACAGAGAGACAGAGGGAGCAAAUGCUAUUGGAAGAAUGGUGCCAGUAGACUUGCUUGAUACAGAGUUGCUGCAAUCCUUCAAUCUAUAAAAAAAGUACAAACUAUUUAUUGCCUUUGGAAUGGAUAAGCAAUGAGAUCUUGCCAUAUAGCACUGGGAACUAUAUCUAGUCACUUAUGAUGGAGCAUGAUGGAAGAUAAUGUGAGAAAAAGAAUGUGUAUAUAUAUAUGUGUGUGUGUGGGUGUGUGUGACUGGGUCACCUUGCUGUACAGUAGAGAAUUGACAGAACACAGUAAACCAGUUAUAAUGGAAAAAAUAAAAAUCACUUUAAAAAAGUUAAAAAAAUAUAAUACCUGUGAAGUACAAUAAAACAAGGUAUGCCUGUAUGGAGGUGAGAUGCUGAAAAGAAAGCAGUGGCUAGGAAGCUGGAAAACCAAGCAGAGCUUUUGGUAAAAUUUAGACUUUGAUUUAAAAUCCAGGAAGGGUUACAGUCAAUGAAGGGCAAAUUGGAGAUAGACACCCUCUCAAAAUACUGAACACAAGAUUAGACUCCUGGAGUUCCCAUCAUGGUGCAGAGGAAAGGAAUCCGACUAGGAACCAUGAGGUUGCAGGUUCAAUCCCUGGCUUCACUCAGUGGGUUAAGGAUCCAGCAUUGCCGUGAGCCGUGGUGUAGGUCGCAGACAUGGCUCGGAUCUGGCGUUGGUGUGGCUGUGGUGUAGGCCGACAGCUGGACCCCUAGCCUGGGAACCUCCAUAUGCCGAAGGUGCAGCCC
rnacentral:lncRNA from 1 species